UGCUUGGGAAUCUAGCUUAUGGAGGGGGAUAACUACGGGAAACUGUAGCUAAUACCGCGUAGUAUCGAGAGAUGAAAGUGUGGGACCUUCGGGCCACAUGCCAUAGGAUGAGCCCAAGUGGGAUUAGGUAGUUGGUGAGGUAAAGGCUCACCAAGCCGACGAUCUCUAGCUGGUCUGAGAGGAUGACCAGCCACACUGGGACUGAGACACGGCCCAG
rnacentral:rRNA from 1 species